UGAUGCUAGCUGACCCAAAUGCAGGUCUAAUUGCUAAUGACUCAUCACCUUCAACAACAGAAAAUGGCUACCAUGGAGCAGCUGGAGGUCCGGGUGUUUGGGCUCUCGCUGUCAUUUUCCUAAUCAGCAUAAUUGCCACCGGCUCCUUCAUCCUUUACAAGUUCAAAAGAAAGCUUCCUGGAAGCCGCAACGUCUACGCCCAGAUGCACAAUGAGAAGGAGCAGGAGAUGACCAGCCCCGUAAAUCACAGCGAAGACACGCAGCACAUCAUCCAAGGCGAGGAGUUCAUCGACGACGACCUGGACUCGCAGACUCUAGGUAACGCAGGAGGUAGCCCCGCCUUCCGAUCCCUUAUAAGGACUACCACUAACCACUGCUACUAAAACCCAAGCCACUAACACCAGCAGCUAACACACACCAAGGCAACCACUCAGGUGUGGUCCUGAGCAUCAACUCCAGAGAACUACACAGUUACCUGACCAGCUGAUGGCUGCCAUGGCAACGCUGAUGAGCUAGCCCAGCCUAGCCGAGCCAGCUAAUGAGCACAGGGACUCUGCCUUCUUCCUCCUCUUUUUUUUUUUUUUUCUGUCCCCACCCUCUCCUCUCCCUUGGACACUUCACCUCCACUCCAUGGCCUCCUCAACCCCUCAACUUUGUGUGAUUUGUACUUAACAUCACGGCAAGGUCCUUACUCUCUCUCUCUCUCUCUCUUCCCACCACACCACCAACACUGAUGUUAAUUGGUGUCUUGAUGGCUUAUCUGUGUCUGUAAGAAAAAUAACAUUAUGUGCACAAACAUUCUGCCACUUAACACUCCUAGAAUCAGCCAGGGAGAGCUGAACCGUCUAAACCAGCGGCUACUCAAGCUAGCUGCAGCCAAAGACGUGUUUCUGAGCACUAGAUGUGGACUGCACUAAGAUAGAGAAGUAAACUAAAGACAAGUGAGUUUUUAUUUUUUGUUUUAUUGUUUUUUUCCUUUUCUUCCCUAAAUGAUCGCUCAACCUCUCUCUCUUUAAAGGCAAUAAUAAUCUUAAUGGAAUGUACAAUAUAAGAAAAACCCUCGUGAAUAUGCAUAUGAUGAGAAUAUGCAUGCAAACACAAGGGCGGUGUUGCACUUUCUUAAAUUUCCAUUCUCCGCUUCUAAGACACUGUAUGUACACACAUCUUUGUUCAUUUUCUCCAUAAUCCCAAUCCAUCCUUGAUUUUUUUGUUUGUUUUGUUUUGUUUUAAUGACCCAUUUUCAGUAGAUUGGUGUAAAAUGUUUAAAUCAGUGCCACCUCCAUCUGUCCCAUGGUGCCUGAAGCAGCAGAUCGUCAAUCUGCCCAGUGACACCACCAGUCGCCAUGUACGGUUACGUCUAAAAACACAACUUCCCUUUCUGCUCCUCCUCCUCCUCCUCACAGUUUCUGGGUGAGAGUGGACUCUGUCCUCAGGAGACAAAGGCUGCCGUCAUGGAGAGAAGGCGUAGCCCAUGUUUUCUGUAUCAGCCUAUAUUAGGCAAAAGCCCGCAGUGGAAUCGUGUCUCCUUUAAAAGUUUGCUUUGUAUGUAAAUGUGUAAAUAUGAGCAGUUAAUUCAACUUUGUACAUAUUUCCUGUUGACGUGUGUGAGUGUUUUACAUGGCUACCAAAACAGUGGUAUUGUUUUUGUUUUUUUUCUUCUUCUUCUUUCUGGAGUGAUACACGAGUUUCACCAGUUUAAUCUUCACUGUUUCACAUGUAUCUUUUUUCCUGUUUCGGUCUCAUUUAUCACAGUCUUCAUGUUAACUGGAAAUAAUUUCAUUGUCCUACAGAGACACUCACAGCUACUGUAUACAGCAAUGACUAUAUAUAUAUAUGGAUAUUUUUGAUACACAUGUCAGGUUUUUGCCAGUAUGUGUAAACACUGGUUAGUGUUUCUGUUGCCUUUUGCUGAAGUCUUUUUGUUUGUUUGAUUGCACUAAUGAUGUAAAAAAAAAAAAAAAAAAAAAAAGUUGCCGUUGCCAAGUACCAGACGGCAGCCGAACAGUUCUGCAAAACUAGUCUCUGGAUGAAAGGCCUUAGAGACCAUCAGGACCAUUCUUUGGUUGGAUUGCAUUCAUUCAUUCUGGUUUACAACUUUAUUCAACUUUUGUACAUAUUGUGCUCAUGCUCAACUUGUUCUUAGUUUUGUAGUGCUGUGUCGUCAUUGUGUCAACACACCCUUCAACAGAGGAAUUUUUGGGGGAUUGUGAUAUUCUGAUGUUAAGGUUAAGGAGUUUCACAGAUGAUGACACUGACCGUGUGACUUGUACCACGCUGCUUUCCUUUGUUUUUGGUUUUGUUUUGUUGUUUUUAUCUCUUUCUGCUGGUUUGUUUGAACUCUUGAUUUUGGCUAUUAAAAACAAUUGUGUCCUCUUCAGGAAGCAUAAUACACUGGACCUGCAUCCUGAAAUAAAUCACUCCCAUAACUUGUA